GCCGCGUUGGCCUAAUGGUAGGGCGUCGCUUUCCUACUAUUUCUGAUUUAUCAUCAGAGUUAACUUAGAGGCGAAGCUUAUGGGUUCGAUCCCCAUACGCGGUA